rnacentral:rRNA from 1 species
UUGGAAAAAGUUGAUCCUGGCUCAGGACGAACGCUGGCGGCGUGCCUAAUACAUGCAAGUCGAGCGGACAGAUGGGAGCUUGCUCCCUGAUGUUAGCGGCGGACGGGUGAGUAACACGUGGGUAACCUGCCUGUAAGACUGGGAUAACUCCGGGAAACCGGGGCUAAUACCGGAUGCUUGUUUGAACCGCAUGGUUCAAACAUAAAAGGUGGCUUCGGCUACCACUUACAGAUGGACCCGCGGCGCAUUAGCUAGUUGGUGAGGUAACGGCUCACCAAGGCGACGAUGCGUAGCCGACCUGAGAGGGUGAUCGGCCACACUGGGACUGAGACACGGCCCAGACUCCUACGGGAGGCAGCAGUAGGGAAUCUUCCGCAAUGGACGAAAGUCUGACGGAGCAACGCCGCGUGAGUGAUGAAGGUUUUCGGAUCGUAAAGCUCUGUUGUUAGGGAAGAACAAGUGCCGUUCAAAUAGGGCGGCACCUUGACGGUACCUAACCA